AACGAACGCCGGCGGCAUGCCUAACACAUGCAAGUCGAACGAGACCUUCGGGUCUAGUGGCGCACGGGUGCGUAACGCGUGGGAACCUGCCCUUAGGUUCGGAAUAACUCCCCGAAAGGGGUGCUAAUACCGGAUAAUGUCUUCGGACCAAAGAUUUAUCGCCUUUGGAUGGGCCCGCGUUGGAUUAGCUAGUUGGUAGGGUAAAAGCCUACCAAGGCGACGAUCCAUAGCUGGUCUGAGAGGAUGAUCAGCCACACUGGGACUGAGACACGGCCCAGACUCCUACGGGAGGCAGCAGUGGGGAAUAUUGGACAAUGGGCGAAAGCCUGAUCCAGCAAUGCCGCGUGAAUGAUGAAGGCCUUAGGGUUGUAAAGCUCUUUUACCCGGGAUGAUAAUGACAGUACCGGGAGAAUAAGCGCCGGCUAACUCCGUG
rnacentral:rRNA from 1 species